ensembl:lncRNA
CAGCUCCAGGGGGAGGUCUUUGUCCACGCCAUUCCCAACACAGCAUCGCAGCGCUCCAAGGGCAGCGCCUUGCAGCGAGGUGGGGCCUGAGCUGUGGGGGAAAGUGCUCCAACCAACAGGCUCCAGUCAGACGUGGCUUUGUUCACAGGAAUUCAUGCUGCGGUACCAGGGCCCGGCAAACUGCUGGAUUGGGCUGCACAGGGAAGAAGGGGACGAGCACUGGACAUGGCCCGAUGGCAGCGCCUUCACCAACUGGUUCCAGGUGCGAGGCGGAGGCCGAUGUGCGUACCUGAACGGGGAUAGGAUCAGCUCAAGUCUCUGCCACAUACAAAAAUACUGGGUGUGCAGCAGAGCCGACAGCUACGUCCUCUGGAGGGAGGAGACAGAUCCACAGUGACACAUCCCAUCCACAGUGUGUUGGUUCCAGUGCUGCUGGACACUGCCAUGCUAUCAGUGUGUACUUGAAUCUGCCUCUUUCCUGCACUUCUGGACUUGUUCCUGCAUGAAAGCAUGUGGGAAGUAUUUGAUGGACCGUGGGCAUAUUUAUUAGAACAUGCUCGAGUAAUCCCUGGAUUGUCCUUGGACGCCUGAGACGAAUGAUAAAUUGCCUUUCAUCCCACUAGUCAGGAUUUUAGAAAUAUGACCGUGCCUCUCUAGAGACAAAGGCACACGCGAUCUUACUUUGAUUCCACAUGUGAUUCUGAUACAGGAUUCUGGAGUAUUGCCCAACAGAUUUUUAGUUCACUGGUCCCUUCAAUUGGCACCUAUCUCAGGGGCCCAAAUGCCCCUCACUAAAGAAUGAUCUUGGGAUGGAACAAAGUAUUCUGAUAGUUUUAAGGGAACUGAUAGUUGUGUCUAUAGCUGCAAAUAUUUUAUUUUGUAGAGAGAGCUGACCUUGGUAGUUUAUUUUGCUUUGCAAACAGGUGUUCCACUUGGGCUCUGUAUCACGCACUGGCCAUGCGGGUUCAGCGUGCAAGUGGAACAAACCCUGCAGGCCCUGGGCAGAAUCAAAGCAGGAGAGAGUCUGUGAUGGGUGAGAGAGGAGAAGUGCACUUUGAAGCAGGGGACGCCCUGCUGGCACUGCCCAUCGCAUCCACCGCCAGCACGGUCCUUCUCUCUCCUUUCUGGUGGUUUGCCGCCUUUCAAGGUUACAGGUCCACACAGAAUGGGACCCUCAGGGAUUCUUUUCCAGGUUGCAGAAACUUGGGCCAAACAAGUGUUUGUUCUUCUUAAUGGGUUUCACAGUAUUUCUUGUCAUUAUGCGAUGUUUGCCUUGUCUCUUCUCUUACAUUUAGCGUGUUAUCAAUCGAGGCCUUGAUUGAGUUAUGAUGGUUAUAUUAUUAAUAUGAUUAGUGCUAUUAUUUUAUAGAAUAGUUAUAGUUUGCUAAUUAAAAAAAAAAAGGGGGAAUUGUGGAGAAGUAUUUGAUGGACAAUGGGCAUCUUUAUUAAGACAUGCUCGAGUAAUCCCUGGAGUGUCCUUGGAGGCCUGAAAUGAGGAACAGCUGCUGUGUUGCAAGGUCGAACAGCUACGCCUCCAGGUUGUGCUUUACGGGACUGCUAACCACUCUCUAACUGCAAGAAUGCCUACGUGAUGAUAUCUGCUGUCCAAUUAGCAGCGUUGUAGCGCGCAACGCCUACAUAAUGCUCUAUAAAUGUUGUAGUCGAAUUGCAAUAAAUUAAGCACUAUGCAACA